UGCUGCGUUUGCCUGGGUGUAAUGGAGAGCAGUACAUUGUGUUCUGGGUUAUCCUCCCCCUCUGACACUCAACCAGCCUUAUUCUGCUCACUUCAGUUCCUCUUCUCUUCUCCUUUUCUCCUGGACACAACUUUCUCAAUCACAACAAAAUAAAUCUUGCGACAGGCCGGACUGGAGGCCACUUCUGACUGCUCAGGGCUGUUCAGGGCCAGAAGUCACUUCUCCAGCUCUUGACCUCUGGACACACACGCCUGUGCUCGCAGAUGCUCUGCUGUUUGAGGGGGACUCUUGCCAUCUAGUGGGAGGGGAUGGGUUAAGGUUAAAAUGCAAGAAAGAUGCAUGUGCUCUCUCUGUGAUGUGCUACUCUUGUUCAAGCUGCCUGGGACCAAGGAGGAACAGCUGCUGUCUCCUUUGGUGGCUGCAGAAGAGCUGUGUCAUGCAAGGGCCCCUCCCAGGAUGGCAGCAGCUCUGGGUUAUGGUGCUUUGGCUUCCAGUUGCCACACGGACAUGGGACUGUGCAAACCUUGCCACGGUUAGGGUGGAGCAGCAACCAAAUAAAAAGGGUGAGAGGAUCAGGUCUGGGAAGUCAGUUCAGCCACCACCAAGCUCCUAAUGUGUAAGUCAUAGAAAUUCCAGUAGGGAUUAAGCAAUUUACAUAAAAUAUAUUGGUUUAUCCCUCUGUUAAGGGAUGCAUAAACCUACUCCUCUAAAAUCACUGGUGUUUGUUGGCCGUCCUGUGAGCCCAAAAGCAGGGAUCUAACCCCAAUUGCACGUUGCAGGGAUAUUCC